rnacentral:rRNA from 1 species
GGAUCAAUACGUCGAUCGUGCUUUUUUGGUACGCACUGGCGUCAUUGGUUUCUCCUUUCUGACGAACCAUGAUGUCAUUAAUUUGGUGUUAUGGGGAGUUAGGACUGUUACUUUGAAAAAAUUAGAGUGUUUAAAGCAGGCAUUAGCUUGAAUACAUUAGCAUGGAAUAAUGAAAUAGGACGUUCGAUCCUAUUUUGUUGGUUUCUAGGAUCAACGUAAUGAUUAAUAGGGAUAGUUGGGGGCAUUAGUAUUCAAUUGUCAGAGGUGAAAUUCUUGGAUUUAUUGAAGACUAACUACUGCGAAAGCAUUUGCCAAGGAUGUUCUCAUUAAUCAAGAACGAAAGUUAGGGGAUCGAAGACGAUCAGAUACCGUCGUAGUCUUAACCAUAAACUAUGCCGACUAGGGAUCGGAUGAUGUUAAUUUUUUAAUGACUCAUUCGGCGCCUUACGGGAAACCAAAGUGUUUGGGUUCCGGGGGGAGUAUGGUCGCAAGGCUGAAACUUAAAGGAAUUGACGGAAGGGCACCACCAGGGGUGGAGCCUGCGGCUUAAUUUGACUCAACACGGGGAAACUCACCAGGUCCAGACAUAGUAAGGAUUGACAGAUUGAGAGC